rnacentral:lncRNA from 1 species
AAACUGAAAAACUUGGGACAAGAUUUUGCAAUUUGGAUUUAGCCGAGUGAAAACUUUGAAGAAAGGAGUUUCUGUUAAAGGAGUAGCAUAACCGGAGGAUCAAUUGGAAAUCUCGGGAGACUUUAUCUUGCUUAAGAUCAAGGAAGAUAAGAAGAUAGAAUCAACAUCAAAUUUAGGAUUUGGGGGUUUGGAUUUCUAUUUCUCUCUUGUAUACAACUUUUGCAAAGGUUAAUUGAAUAUAUCAAUUUCAUU